UGGGGAAUUUUGGACAAUGGGCGAAAGCCUGAUCCAGCAAUGCCGCGUGUGUGAAGAAGGCCUUCGGGUUGUAAAGCACUUUUGUCCGGAAAGAAAUCCUUGGCUCUAAUACAGUCGGGGGAUGACGGUACCGGAAGAAUAAGCACCGGCUAACUACGUGCCAGCAGCCGCGGUAAUACGUAGGGUGCAAGCGUUAAUCGGAAUUACUGGGCGUAAAGCGUGCGCAGGCGGUUUGCUAAGACCGAUGUGAAAUCCCCGGGCUCAACCUGGGAACUGCAUUGGUGACUGGCAGGCUAGAGUAUGGCAGAGGGGGGUAGAAUUCCACGUGUAGCAGUGAAAUGCGUAGAGAUGUGGAGGAAUACCGAUGGCGAAUGCAGCCCCCUGGGCCAAUACUGACGCUCAUGCACGAAAGCGUGGGGAGCAAACAGGAUUAGAUACCCUGGUAGUCCACGCCCUAAACGAUGUCAACUAGUUGUUGGGGAUUCAUUUCCUUAGUAACGUAGCUAACGCGUGAAGUUGACCGCCUGGGGAGUACGGUCGCAGGAUUAAAACUUAAAUGAAUUGACGGGGUCAUAGCUGUUUCCU
rnacentral:rRNA from 1 species